AUGAGCAUUUUUGAGCACGCAGAACACAUCGGCUCAGCCUGGAGCCAGCAGUUAGAGCGCGAACACACACACACACACACACACACACACACACACACACACACGCAGGCACGCACGCGGAGCAGUGCUUUCCUCUCAAGUGAGGCGGCAUUAGCAACUGCAGUUCCAGCUUCCUCAGCUGAGCUCCCGGCGGCCACUGCCUGCCUGAUUUGUCGGAGGAGCGCUAGAGUCCAGUUUCUGAGGGAUCCGGUAACAUGUAGCUGUCACAGCUGGUGGCAGACAGCCACUUCUUUCCAGCUGCUUCGCAGCCCUGGCAAGAGGACACCCUCUUCCAAAAUUCACGCUGCCUGGGGAGGAGGCUGCUCAGUGCAGAUUUCUUUGCAGGGUAGAGAAAAGGAUAACUCUGGAUACACUUUUUGUCCUGAACAAAGGAGACAGCACAGACAUCUUCAGACAAGUCCCACAUCUCCAACUUCAAUUUUGUUUGAAGAUUGGUACUGACAAGCUGACUGGUAAGUGACACCACAAUUCUUAUUAUGAUGCAUUUUUUAAAGUAUAUGUUCUAUAGUCAUCUUGGCACCCUGAUUUUCAAAUACAGAAAUCAGCAACUGGGACUUAAAGGAGUGAAAUUCUCUACUGUCUUCCCAAAGAUACAGUGUCUAGAGAAAUAGUUGAUGAAUUAUUCUCACUGAAUAGUUGUUUCUGGCAAUAGUUGAUUGAGUUAAAUCAUUGGAUAACAUUCUGUAUCUGUGGCAGUUGUGAAUUACAUUUCAAAGGAAACCAAGGGGCUCUGAGUAAAGAAAAAAAUGAUAGGUAAACUAACUUGAGAAGAACUAUGAGAAUUAGUUUGUAUGAAUAAUAUGGUUUACUUCAAUUUUAUGUCUUUAAAAUUUUAGUAUGCAUAAAGAUGAAAGAUUUCUAAAGUUCUUCUCACGUGGCUUACUAAUAUAGAACCGAAUGUGUUGUUUUGUUGUAGAAUUCGAAAGGAAGCUAUUGUUUCAAUUGUGCACCAAAAUAAUAAACUCUUGCCAGAAAACA
rnacentral:lncRNA from 1 species